GACAGAGGUGGCAAGCGUUGUUCGGAUUUACUGGGCGUAAAGAGUGCGUAGGUGGUGAGGUAAGACCUGUGGGAAAGACCUGGGCUUAACCCAGGAAGGUCGCAGGUGACUGCCUCGCUUGAGGACGGGAGAGGAGAGCGGAAUUCCCGGUGUAGCGGUGAAAUGCGUAGAGAUCGGGAGGAACACCAGUAGCGAAGGCGGCUCGCUGGGCCGUUCCUGACGCUGAGACGCGAAAGCUAGGGGAGCGAACAGG
rnacentral:rRNA from 1 species